GAGGUGUCAGAAAAGUUACCACAGGGAUA
rnacentral:ncRNA from 2 species